GUCAUUUUUUCAGGACAGAGU
rnacentral:miRNA from 1 species